AUUGAACGCUGGCGGAAUGCUUUACACAUGCAAGUCGAACGGCAGCACGGGUGCUUGCACCUGGUGGCGAGUGGCGAACGGGUGAGUAAUGCACCGGAACGUAUCCAAUAAUGGGGGAUAACGCACCGAAAGGUGUGCUAAUACCGCAUACGCCCUGAGGGGGAAAGCGGGGGAUCGUAAGACCUCGCGUUAAUGGAGCGGCCGAUGCCGGAUUAGCUAGUUGGUGAGGUAAAGGCUCACCAAGGCGACGAUCCGUAGCUGGUCUGAGAGGACGACCAGCCACACUGGAACUGAGACACGGUCCAGACUCCUACGGGAGGCAGCAGUGGGGAAUUUUGGACAAUGGGCGCAAGCCUGAUCCAGCCAUUCCGCGUGAGUGAAGAAGGCCUCGG
rnacentral:rRNA from 1 species